UUGGAGGGCAAGUCUGGUGCCAGCAGCCGCGGUAAUUCCAGCUCCAAUAGUGUAUAUUAAAGUUGUUGCAGUUAAAAAGCUCGUAGUUGAAUUUCGGGACUAGUACGUUGGUCGUGCCUUAGGUACGUACUGGUGUUACUGGUUCCUACCUUCUGACGAACCAUUAUGUCAUUAAUUUGGUGUGGUGGGGAAUCAGGACUGUUACUUUGAAAAAAUUAGAGUGUUUAAAGCAGGCUCGCGCUUGAAUACAUUAGCAUGGAAUAAUGAAAUAGGACGUUG
rnacentral:rRNA from 1 species